rnacentral:rRNA from 1 species
GAUGAACGCUGGCGGCGUGCUUAACACAUGCAAGUCGAACGAUGAUCCCAGCUUGCUGGGGGAUUAGUGGCGAACGGGUGAGUAACACGUGAGUAACCUGCCCUUGACUCUGGGAUAAGCCUGGGAAACUGGGUCUAAUACCGGAUACGACCAUUCCACGCAUGUGGUGGUGGUGGAAAGCUUUUGUGGUUUUGGAUGGACUCGCGGCCUAUCAGCUUGUUGGUGGGGUAAUAGCCUACCAAGGCGACGACGGGUAGCCGGCCUGAGAGGGUGACCGGCCACACUGGGACUGAGACACGGCCCAGACUCCUACGGGAGGCAGCAGUGGGGAAUAUUGCACAAUGGGCGCAAGCCUGAUGCAGCGACGCCGCGUGAGGGAUGACGGCCUUCGGGUUGUAAACCUCUUUCAGUAGGGAAGAAGCGUAAGUGACGGUACCUGCAGAAGAAGCGCCGGCUAACUACGUG